UAUCAAGUGACUGAAUAAAGUAAUGGUCUCUUAAACCACAUCAUAGUAUAUAUAUACUCUUGAUAG
rnacentral:tRNA from 1 species